GGGGAUUUAGCUCAGUGGUAGAGCACUUGCCUAGGGUUCGCAAGGCCCUGGGUUCGGUCCCCAGCUCCG
rnacentral:tRNA from 1 species